rnacentral:tRNA from 1 species
ACUUCUUUAGUAUCAACAAGUACAGUUGACUUCCAAUUAACUAGUUCUGGUAAUAAUCCAGAAAGAAGUA